CCAGACUCCUACGGGAGGCAGCAGUGGGGAAUAUUGGGCAAUGGGCGCAAGCCUGACCCAGCAACGCCGCGUGAAGGAAGAAGGCUUUCGGGUUGUAAACUUCUUUUAAGAGGGAAGAGUAGAAGACGGUACCUCUUGAAUAAGCCACGGCUAACUACGUGCCAGCAGCCGCGGUAAUACGUAGGUGGCAAGCGUUGUCCGGAUUUACUGGGUGUAAAGGGCGUGCAGCCGGAGAGACAAGUCAGAUGUGAAAUCCACGGGCUCAACCCGUGAACUGCAUUUGAAACUGUUUCCCUUGAGUGUCGGAGAGGUAAUCGGAAUUCCUUGUGUAGCGGUGAAAUGCGUAGAUAUAAGGAAGAACACCAGUGGCGAAGGCGGCUUGCUGGGUCGAUACUGCCAUUGAGGCACGAAAGCGUGGGGAGCAAACAGGAUUAGAUGCCCCAGUACC
rnacentral:rRNA from 1 species